UACAGAGGGUGCAAGCGUUGUUCGGAAUUAUUGGGCGUAAAGCGCGUGUAGGCGGCUUAGCAAGUCGGGCGUGAAAGCCCUCGGCUCAACCGAGGAAGUGCACCCGAAACUGCUGAGCUUGAGUGCCGGAGAGGAUGGCGGAAUACCCCAAGUAGAGGUGAAAUUCGUAGAUAUGGGGUGGAACACCGGUGGCGAAGGCGGCGCUCUGGACCGAGACUGACGCUGAGGCGCGAAAGCGUGGGGAGCAAACAGG
rnacentral:rRNA from 1 species